rnacentral:RNase_P_RNA from 1 species
UGAUUCGUGUUGGGCAGUUGCUCUCCCUAUUUGAGAGGGAGGGAGGAAAGUCCGAACUCCGUAGAACGAGGUGCCGGGUAACUCCCGGGGGCUCAAUUACGAAAGUAUUGAGUCACGGAAAGUGCCACAGAAAAAAAACCGCCUGGCAUUAGCCGGGUAAGGGUGAAAAGGCGAGGUAAGAGCUCACCACUCCGAUGGUAACAUUGGAGGUAGGGCAAACCCCACCUGGUGCAAGGUCAAGCAGAAGGGAUUCCGAUCAGACCAAAUUUUUAUUGGUCUCCGGAUCGAGGUUGUUCGCUUCGAUUUCUUCCUUUUAAAGGAAGAUUAACCUUCGGGUAGACCGCUUGAUCACAACAGUAAUGUUGUGACCAGAUAAAUAACUGCCGCUCCCGAUUUUUCGGGGGAACAGAAUUCGGCUUACAGACACAGAAUUAUCAU